ACGCUGGCGGCGUGCCUAAUACAUGCAAGUAGAACGCUGAAGAGAGGAGCUUGCUCUUCUUGGAUGAGUUGCGAACGGGUGAGUAACGCGUAGGUAACCUGCCUUGUAGCGGGGGAUAACUAUUGGAAACGAUAGCUAAUACCGCAUAACAAUGGAUGACCCAUGUCAUUUAUUUGAAAGGGGCAAAUGCUCCACUACAAGAUGGACCUGCGUUGUAUUAGCUAGUAGGUGAGGUAACGGCUCACCUAGGCGACGAUACAUAGCCGACCUGAGAGGGUGAUCGGCCACACUGGGACUGAGACACGGCCCAGACUCCUACGGGAGGCAGCAGUAGGGAAUCUUCGGCAAUGGGGGCAACCCUGACCGAGCAACGCCGCGUGAGUGAAGAAGGUUUUCGGAUCGUAAAGCUCUGUUGUAAGUCAAGAACGAGUGUGAGAGUGGAAAGUUCACACUGUGACGGUAGCUUACCAGAAAGGGACGGCUAACUACGUGCCAGCAGCCGCGGUAAUACGUAGGUCCCGAGCGUUGUCCGGAUUUAUUGGGCGUAAAGCGAGCGCAGGCGGUUUGAUAAGUCUGAAGUUAAAGGCUGUGGCUCAACCAUAGUUCGCUUUGGAAACUGUCAAACUUGAGUGCAGAAGGGGAGAGUGGAAUUCCAUGUGUAGCGGUGAAAUGCGUAGAUAUAUGGAGGAACACCGGUGGCGAAAGCGGCUCUCUGGUCUGUAACUGACGCUGAGGCUCGAAAGCGUGGGGAGCGAACAGGAUUAGAUACCCUGGUAGUCCACGCCGUAAACGAUGAGUGCUAGGUGUUGGAUCCUUUCCGGGAUUCAGUGCCGCAGCUAACGCAUUAAGCACUCCGCCUGGGGAGUACGACCGCAAGGUUGAAACUCAAAGGAAUUGACGGGGGCCCGCACAAGCGGUGGAGCAUGUGGUUUAAUUCGAAGCAACGCGAAGAACCUUACCAGGUCUUGACAUCCCGAUGCUAUUUCUAGAGAUAGAAAGUUACUUCGGUACAUCGGUGACAGGUGGUGCAUGGUUGUCGUCAGCUCGUGUCGUGAGAUGUUGGGUUAAGUCCCGCAACGAGCGCAACCCCUAUUGUUAGUUGCCAUCAUUCAGUUGGGCACUCUAGCGAGACUGCCGGUAAUAAACCGGAGGAAGGUGGGGAUGACGUCAAAUCAUCAUGCCCCUUAUGACCUGGGCUACACACGUGCUACAAUGGUUGGUACAACGAGUUGCGAGUCGGUGACGGCAAGCUAAUCUCUUAAAGCCAAUCUCAGUUCGGAUUGUAGGCUGCAACUCGCCUACAUGAAGUCGGAAUCGCUAGUAAUCGCGGAUCAGCACGCCGCGGUGAAUACGUUCCCGGGCCUUGUACACACCGCCCGUCACACCACGAGAGUUUGUAACACCCGAAGUCGGUGAGGUAACCUUUUGGAGCCAGCCGCCUAAGGUGGGAUAGAUGAUUGGGGUG
rnacentral:rRNA from 1 species